rnacentral:piRNA from 1 species
AAAAGUGCCCCUUAGUCGUUUGAAG